AGGGAUUUUUCUCAGAUGGUAGAGCGCUCGCUUAGCAUGUGAGACCUUCAGGGAUCGAUGCCCCGCAUCUCCA
rnacentral:tRNA from 1 species